rnacentral:pre_miRNA from 1 species
UGUGUAGAGGUGAGAAAGUGUCAUGUUGUGUCUUGGUACAUUUCUUGCCACUCGCAGU